rnacentral:rRNA from 1 species
ACUCCUACGGGAGGCAGCAGUGGGGAAUAUUGCACAAUGGGCGCAAGCCUGAUGCAGCCAUGCCGCGUGUAUGAAGAAGGCCUUCGGGUUGUAAAGUACUUUCAGCAGUGAGGAAGGUGGGUAUGUUAAUAGCAUACUCAUUUGACGUUAGCUGCAGAAGAAGCACCGGCUAACUCCGUGCCAGCAGCCGCGGUAAUACGGAGGGUGCGAGCGUUAAUCGGAAUUACUGGGCGUAAAGCGCAUGCAGGUGGUUUGUUAAGUCAGAUGUGAAAGCCCGGGGCUCAACCUCGGAAUUGCAUUUGAAACUGGCAAACUAGAGUACUGUAGAGGGGGGUAGAAUUUCAGGUGUAGCGGUGAAAUGCGUAGAGAUCUGAAGGAAUACCGGUGGCGAAGGCGGCCCCCUGGACAGAUACUGACACUCAGAUGCGAAAAGCGUGGGGAGCAAACAGGAUUAGAUACCCUGGUAGGCGU